GCUGGCAAUGCCCCGAGGGGGGAAAUCAGCCGUCUUGGGACCGAGUGGAAGGCACUCGACUACAAACGAGGAAAGAACGGGGAAAAGUCGAGGCAAAAUUAGCCAGACAAGAUGCAGCAUGUCGCAGCCUCUCCUGCCCGACACGCUGAACUUUCGGAAGCAGCCGAGGAGCUGGAGCCGCCCCGCAGCUGCAGGGACGUUGCUGUUGGGGCUUCGUGUUUAUUUAUUUUCCAAAGGAAGAGGAGGAGGAGGAGACUGAACACCAGUAAAUUCCUGGGGCAACCUGAGAUCAAACUGCUGCUUGUUAAGGGAAAGCAGAAGACGAGUCAGACUGCCUAGCAUACCUCCUGUGUCCAGGUCCCGAUCCAUCACCCAUCCGGCUCCAUGGAAAUUCCUCUAUCGCGGCCUGGGAGCAUCGGAUGGGUCCCAGUGAGCUCUGGGGCUGCCGGUCUUUGCAAAUUUGGGAGAGUCAGCUCCUGCCAUAUGAUUAAAGCCGCUUAAACCAAA